UCUGCCUAUAAAAUGGUUACCUGCAUGUGCUGAGCACACUUUGAUUCCGAUCACACAGCUGUAAAACACGUUACCCGUUACACGGCUCUCGCUUUCAACCGUUUUUUUUUCAACAAGAUGUGUUUGAACAACUACGCAACAACAAAACCAAAGUCGCCCAGGUCACCAUGGCGUCAACUUAGACAGCCAAUUAAGCCUAGACUCUCGCGGAAGGUUAUCAAAUCAGCACGCGUCAAUCUCAACCGCUAUUGGAGCAAAUUCGAGGAGCUUUCCAAGGGUAGCGAAACGUCGACCGCCGACAAUGAGGUUAACGAAAACAUCUGUAACGAACUCAAAGCUUCUUUACGUAUGUAAGUUUUAGGAUAGUGCAAAUGUGAUAUUAGCUUAGGAAAUCGUCGUCUUCCACUGUAGUUUUGUAAAUAAAAAGCACAUGAAGUAGUUGCUCAAGCUUUAACUUAAGUUAUUAGUCUGUGAUCGCGAGCUUUAAAUGUUAAUUUAGCACGUUGUAAAUAAAAAGAAAAUAGGCCGCCUAGUGUCAAUUGUUUGUAAAUACGUUGCAUGUAAAUUAGUUUUUAAGAGCACUUUGUAAAUUGUUCACCGUUGCCGAUGUAGUUUUCGUAGUUUUACAACGCUCAAAGUAAAGCUAUGUGAUAAGUUUUAUUGAGUGGCAACCUGUAAAGUGAUCAUUUUGUAUAUUUCAUCUGUGAUAUCAGCUUCUAUGAUUUCUGGGGGUAUUUUUAAGAUUUUAGUUUAAUUAGCUCUUAGCUUUCUCGAUUAAGUUAAAUUGUAAGGUAUUUUUUAAUAAACAAAAUUUUGCUAGCAA